rnacentral:rRNA from 1 species
UGGGGAAUAUUGGGCAAUGGGGGAAACCCUGACCCAGCGACGCCGCGUGGAGGAAGGAGCCCUUCGGGGUGUAAACUCCUGUUGUAAGGGAAGAAGGCAGUGACGGUACCUUACGAGGAAGCCCCGGCAAACUACGUGCCAGCAGCCGCGGUAACACGUAGGGGGCGAGCGUUGUCCGGAAUUACUGGGCGUAAAGCGCACGCAGGCGGAUGCGCGCGUCGGCUGUGAAAUGCACCGGCUCAACCGGUGCACUGCGGUCGAUACGGCGCGUCUGGAGUGCGGGAGAGGGAAGCGGAAUUCCCGGUGUAGCGGUGAAAUGCGUAGAUAUCGGGAGGAACGCCGGUGGCGAAGGCGGCUUCCUGGCCCGCAACUGACGCUCAUGUGCGAAAGCCAGGGGAGCGAACC